AAGUGGAGUUUGAUGUCGUAGCUGUUUACAUUAAAAUUGUGCCUGAUGCAGACUGGAACUUGGUGGUUACUGACGUCAUGUUGAGAGUUUAAGGAACCAGGACAACACUGAUGUCUUAAAGCCAGAACACAAGGCUAUAAGACCGUAAGAUAUAGGAACAGAGCUAGGCCAUUCGGUCCAUUGAGUCUGCUCCACCAUUCGAUCACAGGCAACCAGCAACCCUAGCUAACCCAGUAGCCGGGGCUACAUGUUAUAUUGUAUUUUAUUGAGAACACUUGGUGCUGUCACUUCAAGCUUUUAACUCUCUUAAAGUCACCUGAUCCAUCUUCCACUUCACCUUGAUGGACCAUGUCCGCAGGGACACCGUGUACAAAGCUCUAGAUAAAGGGAGGAUGAACGCACUGGAUGCUGCCCUCACCCUGUUGGCCACUUUUGUGUGUGGCUGCAUCAAGUAGUGCGUUUGUAAACACCAAGUGUCACUACGUGUUGAGGUUCUACCUGUCCCUGGUGUCGUGAAGGAUGGGACUGGCCUCGGCACCGCAGAAUGUUCUCGUAGAAAAACUUGCAAAGGGAAACACCUUUGACCACAAAUCCGUCAGCAUUUCUCAUCCUCGAAACCCUGCAGGAAAAGGAGAGGGUGGAUUCUGUCGAGUGGCUCCCCAAACAGACUGUCAAAAUCAUUUGGCAGAAUGCCCCAUCACCAGAACUUUCUUCAAGCACCAAAACACCACUUAGCUGGUGGUGAGAAGGACAAUACCCAUUAGAUCCUUCAUGUAUGUCCAGACUUUCUGUACCACCGUAUGCUGCCCUGAAAGCAGCUAUAAUGGGGGGGCAGGGUGGGGGAUUGAGACUGUCACACAUCUCCUGCUGCAAUGUGCCUUUGCAAAGUAAGUCUGGAGAAAGAUGCAGUGGUUUGCGUCGAAGUUUGUCCUGAGCAGUUCUGUGCUCUACAGUCUGUAACCUGGCUUGCACACUGAGACAACAUUGGCUGUGCCUGGAGGAUCAUCGAUUUGGUGAAAGAUGCUCUUUGCUCUGCCUGGAACUUAUUGAUCUUCCAGAGCAAGGAGUUGACCCUGACCGAGUGUUAGAGACUGGCACAUUCCAAGGUCCAGGGGUACGUGCUGAGGGACGCACUAAAUCAUGGCACCCAACCAUUUAAGUUCUUUCUACCAUGAUAUGAUGAGGGACUCUUCUACUGUCAAACUCUUCGAGUGCCUCCAAAUGGUCAUUAAAUUGUUAGCUGUAUAAAUAGGAAAAGCAUUUUUUUUUGCAACUGUAGAGAAACUGUGAGAAAUGUCAAAAUUCCAAUAUUUUGUUUGUGUUUUUUGCUCUGUGCAAAGACUGUACAGAUAUGAUGUAGAACCUUUGUAUGUACUUAUAGAUGUUUAUAUGAA